AAUAUAAGAUAUUAUCGUCUCAUGAUCACUCGUGAUAAAAUCCAUGAAGUGAUUCCAAUGAGCGCGGGUUGAAUCCAAUACUCAGAACUUAUGAGCACUCAUGAGUGUUGUAGCCCUUUGUCCAACACCUUAGACCUCUACAAGCUAACCCAUGACAGUCUUAAUUCAUAUCUACUUCCAACAUAUGACCGACUGUGGACGCUUUGAAUAACUUAGUCAUUCCGGAAGAAUAACCUAGUUUAUUCUGGAAGUCAAAACAUGCAAAAUGAAACACAAGAACAAUUGAAUCCAAUAUGGUCUUAGAACUUAUGAAUACAUUCUAACUUUGAACCAUUUCCAUAUUCCAUUUUGACUAUCACUUCAAAACACGCGUUGCCUCUUUUCAUACUAUGUCAAUAUGGUCCUUCCAAAGUCAACUCUAUACUUCCAACUGUCCUUGAGCAACCAAUCUUUGGUAAACCUUAGAUUGUCCUCGACAAUUGCUUAAUCCUUUUAGUCAUAUCCAAUUCUAGACCUUUUCCCUUCUUAAUGCCCCAGGCGUUUGGAAAAUUUUGGAAAGGAUAAAUAUAGCACAUGUAGUCAAUCCUAUAUUCGAAGCAUAUGGGACACGAUCCAUGACGUCUCACAUAAAGACUAAACCAGUCUUUUGCUAUAAUAUUUCCAUUUUUAUUUGCCAAGUCUUCAUAAUUUAGAUUAUGAAAAGGGAUGCCGUAAUCAUAAUCGAAUUUUAGAACCCAAACAUAGAAUUUCCUUAUGUUGAGCCAUUCCAACUUGAAACUCAUAUAUAUACUUUACUAAAUACGAUUAAGACCUCAAUCUAAGCUUUUAGAUUUGAGAUGAAGUACAAUUUCCUCUCCCUUAAUUAUAGCAAAACAACUCUUUGCCAAUUGAAAGCUUUUUUUUUCUAUAAUUAACAUUGCUAACUUGCAAUACUUAUCAUAAUUAUCAUGCUCCCACUAACAUGAUGAUUAUUAGCAUAACUGUAACAACCCGAAGUUAUUCAUCGCCAAAAACCCGUUCUACCCGUAUAACUCGUCGGAAAUCNNNNNNNNNNNNNNNNNNNNNNNNNNNNNNNNNNNNNNNNNNNNNNNNNNNNNNNNNNNNNNNNNNNNNNNNNNNNNNNNNNNNNNNNNNNNNNNNNNNNAUUAGCCCACAUUAUAUAAAUAUAGAAGCCCAUAUUUAAUUAGUAGUAUCUUUGACCUCUAAAUUAAUCCUAGAUUAAUUAUAGAUCUAUACUAAUUAAAUAAUAUGAUCUUAUAUUAAUAUAUUAGAACUUAUAAUAUAUUAAUAAAUCAUAACUUGUACUAUUCUCAAAAGGUUAUCCAGAAAUUGUUCGGGUGAAGUGCAACCCAAAUGGACCAUGUCGGGUCGGGUCAGUUACAUACCAAAUAUAGUUAUGGACUUAGACACUAUAUCCAACAUAAAAUGGGUGAAUCGUCAUUCGCCUACCUUCAAAUAUUUUAUAGCUUGGAUUACGACAUCCUUCUUCCAAGUUAUAAUAGUAUUGUAUUGGGUCCUAGCCUUAAUAUUUCAUAUUGGGUGUUAUAUUAAGGACAUUAAAUCAACUAUCUUGAAUAUCUCCCAAUAGAUGUCUGGUUUACACAUUUAUGAUCUUCCCAAAUCUCUUGAAACAAGCUUUCCGAAAUGAAGAUGAUAUCCCAUGGAAAUCAUACUUCUUUCAUCUCCUCUAAUUAUUCUCCCUAACCCAUAAGUUCCUGAAAAAGUUUAUGGUCACUCAAGCCCUAUUGGCAAGCAAAGGUCUAUGUGUGAUCACGUCUUGGAGAUGUAGUCACAUAUGGACAAGCCCGGAGAAUUGGGCGUCAAAGUCUUGAGAAAAGUUGGUGGCUCAACUACUUUCUAAGUCACAUUGUGAGUUCUUUUGGAACACCUAUGAAACAGAAUAUGACAAGACCCUUAAUGCUCUUAUCUAUUUGCUACAAUGAACUUCCUAAAAACUUUAUGGACAUUGACCAUGAUGACACUGGAAAUCCAGAAAAGGCAUUCUCUUCGCAAUGGAAAAGGAUCGGCCAUAGUCAAAUCGGUUGACCAAAUGGUAAAGAGAAAAGCUAAGUCUGAGAUAGUUGCAUUUUCAAAUUGUCCAUAUGUUUAUAUUGCCAAAGAAAGGGGCAUUGGUUGCGAAGAUGCCAAGUUUACCUAAGGAUGUUAAAGUCAAUAAAUUUGACUCUACUUCAGGUAAAGUCCACUAUCUAACUCUGCUAAGUUUCUAUUCUGAUAUUCUUGAUACAUGAUGUGACUGGGUCACAUGUUGAUGUUUUAAGAGUCAAAGAAAAGUGUAGAACUUAAAGGAAGAAUAUGCUAAAUCUGAUCACGUAGAUGGAUUUCUAUCGCAUAGUUCGAAGAUCGGAUUCUUGAGCUACAUCAUAGGAGUUAUGAUAUUUUGCAUAGGAAUAGUUAACAAGUUUGUUGGGUUUCGUGCAUUCUAACACUCCUAAGUGUACAUGCAACCCUAAAUACCUUGGAUCUAUGUUUUCCCUAUUAUACAUACAAAUAUGAACAUCUAAGGUAUUAUCCUAAUCUAACAUACAAAACAAUGAAUAUAACAAGAUAUAAUACAUACCUCUUUGAUGUAGAAUGUCCUCAUGAAGCUAGAGUGCCUAGUGCCUCAAGUGUGACACCUCAAAUGGUUCACACAACACCAAAUACACUUGGAAUAACUUGAGAGAAUUCUAGACUUCAUGAAAAUCGGCUAGCCCUUCUAUUACACACACUAGUGGCUGAUUUUGGUUAAUAAUAUGAUGCUUAUAUAGUGUGUUACAAUUAGGUUUACACCAUGUAAACCCUAAUUGUCAUGAACUUUCUCUCAUUUAGUCUAUCCAAGUGCAUGAUGCCAUGNGUAUGCAACCCAAAUGGACCAUGCCGGGUCGGGUCAAGUCUUACCAAUUAUAGUUAUGGACUUAGACAUUAAUCCAACAGUCUCCCACUUGGAUAAGUCUAAAACUAUUAUUGUGUAUGACUUCAAGAACCGACAGGCAAUCGUAGCUCUCAAAAGCUUCUGUCGAACUCUGACCUUGUAGAUGAACUCUGACCUUCGUCAAUGAAUUGUCCAUUAGAUAAGGGAUCAUAUAUUCCUCCAUUCUAGAUAUCAUAUGGACGGAGUCAUGGAUUAUAAUCAUUCUCUUUGUCCAUUUUUUGUUUCCCAAUUUCCGAUUUAUGACUACUGACUAAUUAAACAAAUCAAAUCAGUCCUGGCCCGGCCGAGCACUUCCCUUUGUCAUCAUCAAAUCAUCGAGGGGCCCACAGAUAUCGCUUUUAUCCCGAAGGUAAAAGGAACGGAUAAACUUCGACUCAUAUGGCUUGUUCUACUACUUGUUGAAUCAUACACAAAGGCACGUUUUAUAGCACCGAGUUACCAAAUGCGUUUUCGUGCAAUCAAUGUACUAUCAACUCAUAGUAACAACUCAUAUCUCUAGGUUUGAAGAAUAUAAGAUAUUAUCGUCUCAUGAUCACUCGUGAUAAAAUCCAAGAAGUGAUUCCAAUGAGCGCGGGUUGAAUCCAAUACUCAGAACUUAUGAGCACUCAUGAGUGUUGUAGCCCUUUGUCCAAUAUCUUAGACCUCUACAAGCCAACCCAUGACAGUCUUAAUUUAUAUCUACUUCCAACAUAUGACCGACUAUGGAUGCUUUGAAUAACAUACUCAUCCAGAACAAUAACCUAGUUUAUUCUGGAAGUCAAAACAUGCAAAAUCAAACACAAGGAUAAUUAAAUCGAAUAUAGUAUCAAAACCUAUGAACAUAAAUAAAACACCUUUUAUUUAUCACUAUAUGAUUAGACGUUAUUCAUUGUAUACUAUUUCAGCUAUCAACUUUAUUCUUGAAUUUAAAACAAUAGUUGUCACAUGCUCCAAGCAUGUACACUAUGCUUCCUAAACACUAGUCAUGCCAUACACCAAGUUUGCAUACUAUGUUUGUCUAUGAUCUUUACUUUGUGAAAUAGAUCAAUUGAACAUAACUCCGAUGAUCCUCUUUUCACAGUCCCAAAUCCUUACUGCAAAUGCAAGAAUUCCAAAUUCAUGCCUUUUACUGAAAUCUGUUAGAUUCUAAACUUAUAUGCAUUGAUCCUCUUGUAAUGAUUAUGCACAAAGUCAUAAAGACUUAACAACAACCAUUACAGAGAAUUACAAAGGACAUAAGCUCCUUGGAAACAUCCUUCUUGCAUUAAGUUUCCUAAUCUUAAACAGAUUGAAAAAUCUAACUUUGAAACAUUUCCAGAUUCCAUUUUGACUAUCACUUCUGAACAAGAGUUGCCUCCUUACAGAUUAUGUCAAUAUGGUCCUUCCAGAAUUAUCACUAUACUUCCAACUGUCCUUGAGCACCCAAUCUUUGGUAAACCUUAGAUUGUCCUCAACAAUUGUUUAAUCCUUUUAGUCAUAUCCAGUUCUAAACCUUUUCCCUUCUUAAUGCCCCAGGCAUUUGGAAAAUUUUAGAACGGAUGAAUAUAGCACAUGUAAUCGAUCCUAUAUCCGAAGCAUAUGGGACACGAUUCAUGAUGUCUCACAUAAAGACUAAACCAGUCUUUUGCUAUAAUAUUUCCAUUUCAAUUUGCCAAGUUCUCAUAAUUCAGAUUAUGAAAAGGGAUGCCGUAAUCAUAAUCGAAUUUUAGAACGCAAAUAAUGGACCCAUAUACAGAAUUUCCUUAUGUUGAGCCAUUCCAACAUGAAAUUCAUAUAUAUAUCCUUGACUAAAUACGAUUCAAACCUCAAUCUAAGAUUUUAGAUUUGAGAUGAAGUAUAAUUUCCUCUCCUUUAAUUAUAGCAAAACAACUUUUUCCUAAUUGAAACCUUUUGUUUUCUAUAAUUAACAUUGCUAACUUGCAAUGCUUAUCAUAAUUAUCAUGCUCCCACUAACAUGAUGAUUAUUAGCAUAACACUUAUUCUCCCACUACCUUUCACAUGUACUCAGAAAUCAGUUGGACUUCUAGAAAUCAAUACUUUAUUGACUUUCUUACCAAAGUUCAGAUUUCUGAUACUAGAUUGCUUUGAUAAAACAUUAUCAGAAUCAUACACCUUAUCUUAGAUAGCUAACAAGUGUGUCUAAACAAUUUUAAGGACUAUUAAAAGGGAUUCCGUAAUCAUAGUCUCAAUUGUUUAGACCUUUUCUACUUCUCACAAGUCCGUGUUAGUGUGUCGGUUAACCACACAGCUCCACUAAUGACUUUGAGAAUGCAAAUAUCACAAUUGCUAUCUACUUCUAAUCUACUUGGUGGAAGUGUUUCCUCACCAUCAUUUUCAUGAAUCGGAGAGAAACCUUAUGACCCUUAGAUUUAAUGGUGUAUGUGUUCUUAUCCGUGUGAAUUAUCAAAACCAUAGUCACAAGACAAGGAUAAUGACAACUCAAUCUUAAUUUCUUGCUAUCUGGCUGCUCAAGGGCCUGCCAUUUCUUCCAAGUUGUUGUGCAACCAAUUGAGAACUCUAAGAACUCAUAUGCAAAGCAAAAUCAACUCGAAUGGGCACAAAAUAUGUCAACACG
rnacentral:lncRNA from 1 species